CUUUAGAAUGACUCAAGACCUUCGCCACAAAACAAGCCACUCAAAACCCUAAAUAAGCCUUCUGAGGAUCGCCGGCGAGCUCGAAAUCUCCUCAUCAUCUCCUGUCCAGGUCUUCAUCAGCAACAAUCUCCACCACAAAUCCAUCCCCAUUCAAGGUUUUCAUUAGCAACGAUCCACCACAAAUCCUUCUCAAGCUAUCCUACAACCUUCGAGGCACCAUCGAUCAAGGUACGAUGUGGAUCAGGGGAGCUCUUCUCCUCUUAGAGAAGAUAAAGUUCCUGGGUUUUGCACUGAUAUUUUUGUUCUCCUGAUGAUCAUGGCCGACACUGGAAGCAGAAAAGAUUUCAUUGGUUAUGUCCAAACCCUCAUUUCUUUAAUUAGGGUAUCAUCCCUGCCAACAUCCUGGCUCUGAAUUUUACAAUUGCUGCAGCGGAUAGGAUUGGGGCAAAGAAGCUGUCCAUCAGCACCUUCCACUCGUUCUGUUUGCAGCUCUGUCGUUGACACACAAGAAAAGUAAGUCACUUCAGAGGCCACCUACUGCAUUUGAUAUCUUCUGCAAGACUCAUAUUAGUAAAGAAAGAAAAGGUGUUGAUUCACGAGCACAAGCAGUUUAUGACGCCAUGAAGAAGAUGGUUGAGACGGUUUCACAGCCAUUAUCAAAUGGUUCACAGCCUUCCCCACCUAAUAUGGAUGCUAUAUACUUGGAGGCUUCUAGUGGAGAAAAGAAAAGGAGAGUUUAUGGUCUUAGAUCACAGGCAUAUAGCUUGUAUCCAGAGUCAUUUUGUAGUAGUGCUACAUCAGCUGCCCACCACCUUCAGCAGCUACUAUUCCCCCAGAGAUCAUUUCUGAGAUGGAUGGCAUGAAGAAGAUGGUUGAAUUAGAGCAACAAAAUCAGAACUGGAUUGAACAAAACCAGACCAUGUUUAGACAAAUGCGCCGUGAGUGGAGGCAUAUGAGAAUGAUGAUGCAAUCUGGAUUGUUACCUAAUGGACCAGGUCAGAGUUCUCAGCAUCAGGAGCAGGAUGAUGAUGAUGAUGAUGACUUAUAGAUCUACUUUGUCAUUUGUAUAUGUACACUUUUAUUGUUUUUAGUAUGGAUGUUAUAUUUUGUUAAACA